rnacentral:rRNA from 1 species
GAUGAACGUUGGCGGCGUGCCUAAUACAUGCAAGUCGAACGGAGAUUGUAGUAAUACGGUCUCAGUGGCGAACGGGUGAGUAACGCGUUGGUGACCUGCCCCGAAGUGUGGAAUAACAGAUCGAAAGAGCUGCUAAUACCGCAUAAUAUCCAGAAGAUUAGACGCUUUUGGAUUAAAGGAUUUAUUCGCUUCGGGAGGGGCCUGCGUCCCAUCAGCUAGUUGGUAAGGUAAUGGCUUACCAAGGCUAUGACGGGUAGGGGACCUGAGAGGGUGGCCCCCCACAAUGGAACUGAAACACGGUCCAUACACCUACGGGUGGCAGCAGUAGGGAAUAUUAGUAAUGGGCAAAGCCUGAACUAGCAACGCCGCGUGUGCGAAGAAGGCCUUCGGGUUGUAAAGCACUUUUAGAGAGGAUGAGGAAGGACGGUACUCUCAGAAUAAGUCUCGGCUAACUACGUG